AACAAGGAAUUAAGAGGAACUUCCCCAACAUAAUAAAAAAUAUCUACAGAAAACCUACUGCCAAUAGCAAACUUAAUAGUAAGAAAGUGCAUACUUUCCCCCUAAAACAUAACAGUCUUUACUAAUCAAAAUCACAGAACUUUAUAGCACAAAGAAUGAGCCUUAAUAUAUACAAAUUUUAUUACAGCUCUCUGGUCUUCCUCCCCAAAACACAUAAGCACGAUUUCAUCACAAGAAAAGUAUCAGAAAAAUCCUAAUCAAGGGACAUUCUACAAAAUACCUGACCAGUCCUGCUCAAAACUUUCAAGGUAUCAAAGACAAGGGAAGUCUGAGAAACUGUCCCGCCUAGAGAAGCCUAAGGAAGAGAUGUCAUCAAGAUGGUUGACUAGAGGCGCUUGGUACUCACCUCCUCCACAAAGAAGGACCAGAAUAGCAAGUAGAUAACCACACCUCGAAAAGAGCAUCUAAGAGACAAUAUGGGGUUUUUGGCAGGGAAGUGACUGAGAAUGUCUAAGACACAGAAGGAAAGGGGAAAGGUAAGUGAGAGGUCCCCAGUGGCCCACAUCCCCACCACUGACACCUGCAACCCUACCCCCAGAAGAGUCCCUCAGCUCUCACAAGCCCUAAGCCUGGUACAGGAGGCUUUCUGGAAUCCACAUGACUAACUGUUCCAGAGAGAGAAUUCACACUGGGUCCCACUCACACCAGGAGCCCCAAGCAACUACAUCACAGCACCGUAUUGAGCUCAACCCCCACCAGACUGCAUCCUGCCCUGGAGACCAAUAGCCCCUGCAUCUCCACAUCUCUGGAGCCCUGCUGGCAUCUCCCAUGUUCUUCCAGAAGGCUGUAGCAGCACAAUGCCAGCCAGACCCAGUGAUGUGGCCAGGUCCCCAGCACUCUAGUCCACCCCAUGUCCUAUGCCUUGGGAAACAGAUGGCCAACACACCAGGAUGACUACUCCCAGGACGAAAAGAGCCAAAACAUGUGUUCUCCAAAGCCUGGGAGCUACCUGCCUAGGGCCACAGUCACCAGUAGCAACCCCUGGCAGGGCUGCCAAUGUACCUGCACACACCUUCAGGUGCCCUGAAAACGUGGUUUCUCUGGGCAUGAAGAUGUGUCUGCCCAUCUGCACACACUGUCCAGGAGCCUGGGGAUCAACCCACUCCACCUGUCACCGCCCACUGUCACCACCUGCGUGUCUCCCAGGGGCCUGAGGAUUGGUCCGCUGCCACUACUGCUAGAGCCAGCACCAUGGCACACUGCCUGGGGCCUAAGAACACACAGGCCCAGCCCAUGACUGCCACCACUAUUGCAUGAGCAUGCCACCUGGAGGCCCAAAGACUGGCCCGACCAGGACCCCACAGCCACCACUGGCAUCUUUGUCUGCCAUCCAGGGCCAUGCUGCCACCACCACUGACUGGUGCCUUACGAAUGAUCGGGCUGGUAUCCCCUUCCCAGCAAAGCCCUACCACAGCCUCCACUAACAACCACAGCCUAUGCCACUGAGAGGAACUCUCAGACACCACUGACAUUGAUUACAAUCAAAAAAGUCAUAAAAAGACUACACUGCUGCGCCCACCCAGAACCACUACCCAACCAAUAGUAUAAAUACAUCUACAGGAAAAAGUCUUUGCCUCUGAAAGCUAAUCCAUAAAAUUGGAAGAAGUGACCAUUAAACCAGGUGUAAGAUAUCAAUGAUAAGGACACAAGAACGAUGAGGAAGCAAGAAAACAUGAUACCUCUUGUGUUAGUCCAUUUGCACCACUAUAAAAGAAUACUUAGCCGGGCUCAGUGGCUCACGCCUAUAAUCCCAGCACUUUGGGAAGCUGAGGCAUGAGAAUCACUUGAACCUGGGAGGUGGAGUCUGCAGUGAGCUGAUAUUGAGAUCGCGCCACUGCACUCCAGCCUGGGUGACAGAGCAACUCUGUCUCAAAAAAAAAAAAAGAAUACCUAAAGCUGGGUAAUUUAUGAAGAAAAGAGGUUUAAUUCGCUCACAGUUUUGCACGGUGUACAGGAAGCAUGGUGCUGUGUCCUGCUUCUGGUGAGGCCUCAGGAGGCAUACACUCACGGUGGAAGGUGAAGGGGCAGCAGGUGCAUCACCUGGUGAGAGUGGGAGCAAGAGCGAAGGAGGAGAAAGGUGCCACACACUUUUACACAACCAGGUCUUGCAAGAACUCACGCACUAUCACAAGGACAGCGCCAACUCAUUCCUGAGGGAUCUGUCUCCAUGACCUAAACACCUUCUACCAGGCCCCACCUCCAACAUUGGGGAUCACAUUUCAACAUGAGAUUUGGAGGGGACAAACAUCCAAACUAUAUCUCCUCCAAAGGAAAAUCGUAAUUCUCCAGUAAAAGAUCUCAAAGAAAAGGAAAUUUAUGAAAUGCCUGAAAAGAAUUCAAAAUAAUGAUCUUGGGGAAACUCAGUGGAUUAUAACACAGAUCAACAAUACAAAGAUACAGAUAUCCUAAAAUAGAACCAAAUCAGAAAUCUUGGAACAGAAGAAUUCAAUGAAUGAAAUAAAAAAUAAAAUCAAGAGCAUCAACAAGAGAUUAGAGUGGAAGAAAGAACUUCUGAACUCGAAGACAAGACUUUUGAAACAACUCGGAUUUUUUUUAAAAAAGAUAAUUUAAAAGUAUACAGAAAGCCUAUGUGACAUGCAGGACACCAUAAAGCAAACAUAUAUUUGAAUUUCAGGAGUUCCAGAAAGAGAAGAAAUGGACAAAGGCAUAAAAAACCUAUUUAAUAAAAUAAUAGUUUAAAAUUUCUCCAAGUCUUGAGAGAGAGAGAUAGACAACCAGAUACAGCAGGCUCAAAGAUCCCCACAUAUAUUCAAUCCAAAAAGGUCUUCUCUAGGCACACUAUAGUCAAGCUGUCAAAAGUGAAAGAGAAUUCUAAAAACAGCAAGAGUGUCAAGUCAUAUAUAAGGGAAUCUCCAUUAGACUAAGAGCAAAUUUCUUAGCAGAACCCUUAUAGAACAGGAGAGAAUGGGAUGAUACAAUCAAAGUACUGAAAGAAAAAAACUGCUUAUCAAAUCCAGCAAAACUAUCCUUCAGAAAUGAAGGAGAAAUAAAGUCUUUCCCAGACAAGUAAAAACAGAUAAUUCCUCACCACUAGACUGACUGUACAAGAAAUGUUUAAGGGAGUCCUAUAUCUGGAAGUGAAAGAAUGGUAUCUACCAUCAUAAAACUGUUCCAAAAUACAAGUUUAUUGAAAAAUAAAAGUAUGCUCAACUGUUUAUAAUCACAGACAAAUGGAAGUAACCAUCAGAAAGUCGUUAAAUGGGCCAGGCGCGGUGGCUCACAACUGUAAUCCCAGCACUUUGGCAGGCCAAGGCAGGUGGAUCAUGAGGUCAGGAGAUCAAGACCAUCCUGGCUAACAUGGUGAAACCCCAUCUCUACUAAAAAAUACAAAAAAAAUAGCCAGGUGUGGUGGCAGGCACCUGUAGUCCCAGCUACUUGGGAGGCUGAGAAUGGUGUGAACCCACGAGGCAGAACUUGCAGUAAGCUAAGGUCACGCCACUGCGCUCCAGCCUGGGUGACAGAGCGAGACUCCGUCUCAAAAAAAAAAAAAAAAAAAAGAAAGUCGUUAAAAUGAAUGACAUAUCCAUGGAAUACAAUGCAACUAAUUAAACACUGAGGUAAAACUGCUUGUAUACAAAGAGGUAAAACACAUUAAACAUAUUGUUAAACAAACAAAAAAAGCAACUUGUAGGCAGUAUGCAAAGCAUGAUUCAAUUUGCACUUUAAAAAUUCAAGUAUAGUUAGUAUAAACUAAACAUGUCAAUAAAGAUGGUUUCUAAAUUAUAAAUAGAUACUCCUUCUAGGGAGUGAAACUUAAGCGGGAAGGAAAUGGGGGUCCAACCAGGGUGGUUUUCAUUUUUAUAUUUCUGUAUAUUUUAUGAGAGCAAAUUUGAUAAAGUAAUUAUUUUCCUUAAAAACAGACUACAUUAUACAUAUAGCAUGAUACAUUAAAACAAUAUGGCUAUGUAUGUACAAAUAUACAUCUACAUAUAUAAACAUAAGACUAUUUUGUAUUGUUUUGUUUUUUGAGACUGAGUCUUGCUUUGUCACCCAGGCUGGAGUGCAGUGGCACAAUCUCGGCUCACUGCAACCUCCACCUCCCAUGUUCAAGCGAUUCUCCUGUCUCGGUCUCCCAAGCAGCUGGGAUUAUAGAUGUGCACCACAACACCCAGCUAAUUUGUGUAUUUUUAGUAGAGAUGGGGCUUUGCCAUGUUGGCCAGGCUGGUCUUGAACUCCUGACCUCAAGUGAUCUGCCCACCUUGGCCUCCCAAAGUGCCGGGAUUACAGGCAUGAGCCACCACACCCACCCAUAAACAUAAGAUUUAAAAAGCAUGCAUUCAGCAUGUAUUACCUUAAUCAUUAGGAAGAAAGCCCAAGAAACCUAAUAUAAACAUCAUCUAGCAACUGUGAAGGCUGGGGCUAAAUGUUACAAGAAUAGAAAAAUGACCUCCCCCUGGUGUGAUGUGACUGGAGAACUACACAGCUGGAGCUAGCAAGGAGGAAGGCAGGCUUGAGAACAGAGACAAUAAGCUCAGUUGUGUUCCUUUAGAUUCCAAGGUGCCAGCAAAAAACUGGGGAAUAUGGCAGGGCAUGGUGGCUCACGCCUGCAAUCCCAGCACUUUGGGAGGCCCAGGCAGGCGGAUCACCAGAGGUCAGGAGUUCAAGACCAAACUGGCUAACAUGGUGAAACCUGUCUCUGCUAAAAAUACAAAAAUGAGCCAGGCGUGGUGGCCCACACCUGUAGUCCCAGCUACUCGGGAGGCUGAGGCAGGAGAAUCACUUGAACCCGGGAGGCUGAGGGUACAGUGAGCCGAGAUCAUGCCACUGCACUCUAGCCUGGGUGACAGAGGGAGACUCUGUCUCAAAGAAAAGAAAAGAAAAAAACAAAAAACUGUGAAUAUGUGUAAGCAGCACGUUGAGUUCAAAAUACGGAAACAGAACCUAGGUGUGCAAACAGGGUGGCGGGGUGAGGGAGGAUACAAUGAUAUGCUCAAGCAAGAUUGUCAAAAGAUGAGGGGAAGAUGCCAGCAAAGAAGAAAAAAACAAUGAGAGCAAAAUCUUCUAAAACCCCCAAAGGAGAGAGUUUCAAGAGGAAACUGAUGGUGAGCAAGGUGAAAUAGCACUGCAUUCAGGAGGAUGAACGAGGAAGCCAUUAUAGAUAGGGCAAUUCAUGAGUAAAGUCUUAGCAGAGCAGUUUCCGAGUAUCCUAAUGGUGAGUCUAAUCCAGGGGUCAGCUAACUUUUUCUAUAAAUACCAUGUAAACAUAGUAAAUAUUUUAGGCUUUGAGAACCAAAUGGUCUCUGUGGCAGCUACCCCACUCUGCCAGUGUGGCAGGAAAGCACCACAGACAAUAUGUAAACAAGAAUCAUGGUGACCAGGCGUGGCAGCUCAUGCCUACAAUCCCAGCACUUUAAGAGGCCAAGGUGAGAAGAUCACUUGAGCCAGGAGUUUGAGACCUACCUGCACAACAUAGCAAGACCUCAUCUCUACUAAAAUUAAAUUUUAAAAAUUAGCCAGGUGUGAUGGUGCAUGCCUGUGGUCCCAGCUACUGGGGAGGCUGAGGUGGGAGGAUCGCUUGAGCCCAGGAGACUGAGGCUGCAGUGAGCUGUGAUUGGGCCAUUGCACCCCAGCCUGGUCAAAAGAGCAAGUCCCUAUCUCAACAACAACAACAACAACAAAAAAAGCAGCAGCAGCAUGGCUGUGUUCCAAUAAAACUUUAUUUAUAAAAACAAGUCACGCCAGAUUUGGGCCCUGAGCUGCAGUUUCCUGACCCCUCACACCAGUCACUACCAUUUCUGUUGAGAAAGAACUACUUUCAGAUUCUGCCAUCUGACACAAUAAUUCUUGUUUGAACACCAGUUUCCUGUUUGCAAAAUCCUGCUACUGCUUGUAGAUAUAUUCCUCUAUGUAUUUUCCUUAACUGUGAAGAUUUAAAUGAAAAUAUAUAAGAAUUCUGAAUCACUCCUAAAGGAGACAUUAGGAAAAAGAAAGACCUAGGUAUUGGUAAGAGAGAAAGGGAUAUAAAAUAAAAGGCAGAGCAGUAGAAGGUUCUGGAUUACAGUCACAAGUAAGAAUUAAAAGACAAAACAAACCCAGGCCUUAAAAAUGCACUUUAGAAUUAGGUUCUAAUGGUGAGCCAGGCACAGCGGCUCAUGCCUGUAAUCCCAACACUUUGGGAGGCUGAGGCGGGUGGAUCACCUGAGGUCAGGAGUUCAAGACCAGCCUGGCCAACAUGAAACCUCAUCUCUACUAAAAAUACAAAAGAUUAGCCAGGCGUGGUGGCACACACCUUUAAUUCCAGCUAUUCGGGAGGCUGAGGCAGGAGAAUCGCUUGAACCCGGGAGGCGGAGGUUGCAGUGAGCCAAGAUCUCGCCACUACACUCCAGUCUGGACAUCAGAGUAAGAUUCUGUCUCCAAAAAAAAAAAAAAAAGAAGAAGAAUAUAAUGGCAGGAAAAGAAUCAGCUGAAUAAUUGGAGCAGCUCUGCUGAAUUCUAGGGAGGUCUGGUGUAAAGUUACCGUGGGUGCACUAUAGGUAACUAAUGUGUUAGAAAGUAAGUUUGAAAUAGGAUACAUUAAAUGGAUUAAAUAAAAUUUACCCACAGGUUUUUAAUUUCAAGCACGAAAUUAUCUGGGUUUCUUGAGCCCAGUGGACCCUGAAAGUCAAUAGCUCAGUCAUGGGUCAGACAGGGGGGAAAAAAAAGACAAGGCCUGUAUUUACUAUGCACAAACACAGGACAAAACAAAUUUAUAAUUAUCACGUGGAUGCUGUAGGAGAAUCUGAAAUUUUAGUUGCAAGAAAGAAACAGAAAAGUAGAAAUUCAUUGAAUAGUACUCAUUACUAAUUAAAGGUGUAUAAAAUGUUACUAAUAUUCUCUAUUCAACAUUAUUUCCUUGGUCCUUUUACUAAAUGAACAUAAUAUUUAGAAGGGUUUUCACUGAUUGCUACAAUUCCCAACUUUGAUCUAAAUUUUGCUUUAAAGAGCUUAAUUCUUCAAACUUGACUUCCCCUAUCACACAGAUGUUGUAGGAUAUAAUCUUUGUGUUUGAUAAUGAAAUGACUGUAUCCAAACUGCACCUCCACUAAGAGAUGGGCAGGUGGUAGUUUUUUUGUUUUGGGUUUUGUUUUGUUUUCCUGAUCUGAGAAUGACACCAAAGGUGGUAGGUUUGUGUUUGUUGUGGACUCUGCUUCUCUACUUCCCUAUUUCCCUUUCAGAGAUUAUGAGGAAGUUCUAGAAAACUAGGCAGUCUCUAGCUUUCCUCUAAUCCCUGUCCUCAGUCCUACCACACCCAGAAAAUGGCAACCAGGAGUCCAAAAAGAAUCACUGCCUUUACGCUAGGAGGAAUGGUGAAGACAUGGUCAUGUCAUAAUGGGUUAUAAACAGACAAAUGGACCUACAACCUGGGAAUUCUCCAGUGUUUUUCAGAGUCUACCAGAUAUUUUCAAAGAACAUAAAGGCAAAAGAUGGUAAUUUGCUUUCAUAAGCCAGGAGAAGAAAAGAAGGGAAAUGUGCUUUCUGGUGACAUAAAUCUUUAAAUAGUUAGCUUUGAAAGUCAAUGGAGUCAACAGAUAAGAGUGAACAAAAAUAAAAUGAAGUGUUCCUUCAGCCACUGGACCAGGUCGGGGUCUCCCCACAUCUCAUGAUGUGGUUCACGUGUUAGGAGGAGAAAUGAAUGAUGAUAUAUCCCUUCAGGUUUUUAACAUAGAGAGAUAGAUAGAUAGAUAGAUAGAUAGAUAGAUAGAUAGAUAGAUAGAUAGAUAUUUUUUUUCCUUUUUUGACAAGCUCCAAAGCUAGAAAAAUAUCACAUCAGAAAGAUUCUAAAACUGGUAGAGAAAAAGCUAACAAACUCUAAGAGCUGCUCAAAUUUUAUUUACAUGAUUUUUAACAUUUCUAACAGGCAAAACACAUUUUUUCCCCCAGUGUGUGGAAGGGAAGGUGCAAAUGGCUGAAUAUAAAUGGUAUUUAUUUCAAUCCAAUAUCUCAGACUAUGAAGGAACUAAUGGCAAAAUUUUUUUUAUUCCUAGGAAAGUGGCAAAUGAGUUUUUGCCAUGUAUAUGAGUUUCUUAUGGACCCACAUCAGAAGAGCAAGCCAUCUUCACACUGCCAUAAAUCAAAUAGAACCCAUAUAGUUUCUAUUAUCUUCAUUUCCCAGAUGCACUAAUAUAGGUUUUCAAAUGUCAACUUGAGAAAGUGCUUCCUUCUUUCUAGUUUGAAUGAGCAAAAGAAAUUAGCUUCUGAUCAUUCUUUUUAAUUUCCCUUUCCUGUAAAUUCUCUUUUUCAUAAAUCAAACAUGAUGAUUCUCAUAAAAAGGUUCAGCUCUAAUCUCCAAAAUGGCAAUAGCCAGGCUAAAAAUUUUUAAACAAGUGGUGAGGUGAAUGGCCGUGAAUGAUUCCAUUUAGAAGAAAUUAAGGAGGAUGAAAUCUACUUGGUAACGGGGUAAAAUGCCACUGGUCUCUUAGUCAAGACCGGGGGUUGGGGGUGGUGCGCGAUGACUUCUUUGUUAUCUGUUUGUGGCAAUGGGUCACAAUCAUUUUAAAUCCCAAGCCACUUUUGAUAAACAUGAAAAUGUUCCUUCAAUGCUAUUUGAAAUUUCAAAGGAAAUAUCAUUAAAAACAAAUUGAAAGCAAUGGUUAUUUUUUAAAAUGUCAGUUCAAACCACCUGGGUGCUCUUGGAGUGCCCCCUCCCCCAAUUCUCUGCUAGGUGAAAAUCCAUUAUCUGUGUGACCUAGAACAAAUAAAAAUCACUUUCAACAGCCGGGCACAGUGGCUCACGCCUGUAAUCCCAGCAUUUUGGGAGGCCAAGGUGGGCGGAUAACGAGGUCAGGAGAUCGAGACCAUCCUGGCUAACACAGUGAAACCCCGUCUCUACUAAAAAUAUAUAUAUAAAAAAUUAGCCGGGCGUGGUGGCAGGCGCCUGUAGUCCCAGCUACUCGGGAGGCUGAGGCAGGAGAAUGGCGUGAACCCGGGGGGCGGAGCUUGCAGUGAGCCGAGAUCACGCCACUGCACUCCAGCCUGGGAGACAGCAAGACUCCAUCUCAAAAAAAAAAAAAAAAAAAAUCACUUUCAAGUAAACCUUGUUAAGUGACCUUAGUUCCAACUUGGAGUCUCGGACUCAUGUUAAUUUUUUUUUUUUAAUCUUACGACACUCUGUUGAACGAGUACAAACCAUUUACACACAUAUCACAAUAACUCAAGAAUCCUGAGAAACAGGUGAAACCAUUAUUCUAGAAAUUAGAAAUAAAACAUAUCUCUACUGAGAUAUAUAAAGAUCAACUCUCUUACAUCUUCUUCUCUACCUACAUGUCCAUGUUCAAGUCUCCCCACUUCAAACCAACAGACCAAUAACCCUCCCCUCAAAGCCCCCCCACAAACCCCAAAGCCUUCUGUGACCCUUCCUCCCAAGAUGACCAUCUGUUCUCUUUCUUGCCAAAUAUUAUGACAAUCUGCCGUCCAUCUCCACCAAACCAUUGAGAUUACUUUGGUAACAGGCAUCAAUAAUCUCUGAUUUGUCAAAUAUUUGGGUUUCUUUUUUUUUUUCCAAAUUAAUUUAUUUUUUCUUUUACCUUGAUUCUUUCCUUCUUCCUAAUUUCCAUAGGCUUAUUUUGCUAUUUCUUAGAUUUAAUGCUUAGCUUACUAAGCUAACUAGUAGAUGACUAGUUGCCCACCAAUCCCUAUUCUCCCCUUUGUCCUUAUAAGCAGAGAACCUUGCAGACGUAAAAAAGAACAAGAUCAUGUCCUUUGCAGGGACAUGGUUGGAGCUGGAGGCCAUUAUCCUCAGUAAACUAACACAGGAAUGGAAAACCAAAUACCACAUGCUCUCACUUAUAAGUGGUAGCUAAAUGAUGAGAACACAUGGACACAUAGAGAGGAACAACACACACUGGGGCCUAUCACAGAGUGGAGAAUGGGAGGACGGAGAGGAUCAGGAAAAAAACAAAUGGGUAGCAGGCUUAAUACCUGGAUGAUGAAAUAAUCUGUACAACGAACUCCCAUGACACAAGUUUAUCUGUGUAACCAAUGUGCACGUAUACCUUUGAACUUAAGAGUUAAAAAAAAAAAUACAGAGCAUGCUUGAGCUACUUGGUCACAGCAAUAUAUGAUCUGUGGGGGAAUGGAUCCAGGAACCUCAUGGAUGGCAAAAUCCAUGGAUGCUCCAGUUUCUUCAUAAAAUGAUGUCAUAUUUGCAUUUAACCUAUGCACAUUCUCCAAUAUACUUUAAAUAAUCUCUAGAUUACUUACAAUAGCUAAUACAAUGUAAACGCUAGGUAGUCUUUACACUGUAUUUUUUUACUGUUGUAUUGUUAUUUUUUUCUGAAUAUUUUCAAUCUGUGGUUGGUUGAAUCUGCAAGGACACAGCCUGUGGAUACAGAGGGCUGACUCUGCUCUGCUAAAAGAACCUAUUUCCCAGUCUCCCUCUAGCAAGGGGUGACUAAGACACCUAGUUCUGGCUAAAAAGAUGUAAAUGGAAGAGUUAUGCAAAUAAUUUUAAAAGAAAGAAGAUGUGCCCUUCUUGUACACAUCUUUGUACUGUCUACUCAAAAUGAAGGCUGGAAUGCCAACAUGAUGGCUCUAGCAACCAUUAUGAACCAUGAAGUACACUGCAGAAUGAAAGUCAUCUGUUGAAUGUCAAAGAAGACAGGAAUCUGAGUCUCUGAUGACACUGUGAAGCCACUGUAUCAGCCUCUGGUUCACCUACAAUCAGGCUUCUGUGACAUUAGAAGAAAAGAUAUUUCUAACUUGAUUAACCUACUCACUAUCUGGGGAUGUUAUAUGCAGCUGAUCUGAAUCCCAAGUGAUAUAAUUCACAUUUGGUCCAAUUCUGAAUAUUGUUAUACAAUAUUCUUAUUUUCACUAUCUUACAAGUAUCUAUAAUUGUAGUUUUGAUUCCCUUUCACUUAAUGAAGAUUAAAAUUGAGUCUUGUGAAUUA